rnacentral:rRNA from 1 species
AUCAAAGGAAGGCUCCAGCUAAAAUUUUGCACGUGAGCAUAAUGCUAUAAGCCUACCUGACCGUGAGAUCGACUGGUCGAAUAGAAACAAAAGUCACGGGGGCGU